AAUGGAUACAUCAUUCACUGCACCAGAUACUUACAUACAGGAAUUUAAUCCAAAAGAUUAUUAUAAUUCAUGCUAUGCAUUAGACGAAGGAGCAAUGCUAAGCGAACGGACAGAUUUUGUAUUAAGAAAUUUUCAUGAAAUCUUCUCUUCAGGUAAUCUACUUGAAUGUGAAUAGUCUUUGAAUAAAACUAUUUUAAAACAUAAAAAGUGAAUGUGAUAAAAAAAAUGUAAAAAAUAGAUUGCUUUGUACUUUUUUUCUGAAUCUAUUUACUACCGUAAACAAUACUUUUUUUUCCAAGGAGUCUCUAUCUUUGUCUUAUAAAUAUAGUUUGCUACUUGAUAUAUUUCCUAGACCAGAAGUGGCCAAAAGAUAUUUAUUCAGAUGUAAUGGGACUAUAAUUCACAUGAUUGUUUGUCGGUCUAUAUGAAGAUCAUCACGACCGUUGUAGUUUUGCACUCCUGGAUUGGCUGGCUUUUUGGCCAUCUGUGAUCUUGAAUGUCCUUCAAGACUUAUGAUUUUUGGACUUAUUCACUAAAGUGAGGAUUGCAGGAAUUCAAAGUGAAUUUCUAACUUAAGGCCAAAGCUCCCAAACUAGAAGCACAGCUGACUUGGAGAUUGUUUUCAUUUUGACAUUAAAUUUAAAUUCCACUUUUAAUUCCCAACAAUUCUCCCUUUAACCCCUUAAGACCGGAGGGCGUACUAUUACGUCCUCUAAUAGGCGGCUCUAAACGCCGCCGGGCGUAAUAGUACGCCCUCCGGUCUUUCUGUACUUACCCGGUCGCCGGCGGUCCCACGCCGGCGAUCGCGGUGGGGGGGACUCCCAGGGAGCCCCCCGCGGCACGACCGUCCUCCAGGAAGCCCCCCGGCCGUGUGAGAGUGGGGUCCUAGCGAGGACCCCACAAUCACAUGGCCGGGGAUAGCUGGCUUCUGUAUUGCCAGCAGGGGGGCUGCCUGUAAUGACAGGUGGUCCCCCUGCUGGCUGAAAAUAAAAAUGAAAUAAAUAAAUAGUGUAAAAAAAUAAAUAAUAUAUACUUAGAUCAUAUAUAUAUAUUAUAUAUAUAUGAUCAAAGUAUAUAUAUACACAUAUACAUACACACAUGUACACCGUCUAGGUGUAUUUUACUAUUAAUAUAUAUAUAAUUAUAUAUAUAUAUUAAUAUCAAAUUACACGUAGACUGAUACUGAUUAAAUAUAUAUAUAAUUAUUGUUAUAUAUAUAUUUAUAUAUAUUAUAAAAAAAAUUAAAAUGUAAAUACGUUAAAAAAUAAAAUUACAAAAAUAAUUAAAAAUAAAUAAUUAAAAAAUAUAUAGAUGUGUGUUAUUUCGUUCUAACUGUAUUGUGAAAUUAAUAUAUAUAUAUAUAUAUCAAAAUACACAUAGAGCGAAAUAAUAUAUAUAUUUAUACACAUAAAUAUAUACGUAUAUAUCACUAUAUAUAUACCUAUAUAUAAAUAAAAAUAUUUUUAAAAAAUUAUAUAGAUAUAUACAUAUAUAUACACAUACGUAUAUAUAUACAUAUAUUGAUUCUACAUAUAUAUUUAUGUAAUAUUUUUACAUAAUUAGGUAUCUUAAUUAAUUACAAUUAGCAGGACCUGCAUGACAACCCAUGCCGAAAGUAAAGGGAAUUUAAUUUGCUAGCACUAUAUUUAACCCUAUAACUUUCCGAGACACCAUAAAACCUGUACAUGGGGGGUACUGUUCUACUCGGGGACUUCGCUGAACACAAAUAUUAGUGUUUCAAAACAGUAAAAUGUAUUACAACGAUGAUAUCGCCAGUAAAAGUGAAGUUUUUUGCAUUUUUCACGCACAAACAGCAUUAAACGGACAAUAUUAUUGCUAUGAUACUUUUUACUGUUUUGAAACACAAAUAUUUGUGUUCAGUGAAGUCUCCCGAGUACAACAGUACCCCUCAUGUACAGGUUUUAUGGUGUUUUCAAAAGUUACAGCGUCAAAUAUAAGGCUUGCGUUUCAUUUUUUUCACAUUAAAAUUUGCCAGAUUGGUUACGGUGCCUUUGAGACCCUAUGGUAGCCCAAGAAUGAAAAUUACCCUAUGAUGGCAUACCAUUUGCAAUAGUAGACAACCCAAGGUAUUGCAAACGGGGUAUGUCCAGUCUUUUUUAGUAGCCACUUAGUCACAAACACUGGCCAAAAUUGGCAUUUUUUGCAUUUUCACACACAAACAAAUACUAACGCUAACUUUGGCCAGUGUUUGUGACCAAAUGGCUACUAAAAAGACUGGACAUACCCCAUUUGCAAUACCUUGGGUUGUCUACUAUUGCAAAUGGUAUGCCAUUAUGGGUGUAAAUUUCAUUCCUGGGCUACUAUACAGUCUCAAAGGCAACGUAACCAAUCUGGCGAAUUUCAAUUUCAAAUGUAACGUGCUAUAUUUGACCCUGUAACUUCCCAAAACGCCAUAAAACCUGUACAUAGGGGGUACUGUUUUACACGUGAGACUUUGCUGAAUACAAAUAUGUGUAUUUUAUUGCAGUAAAAGCAAACAGUAUUAUGACACUGACCGUUUAAAUGUCAUGUAGAACUAAAAAAAUCCAAUAAAAUCGUAUUUUCUCCCAUUUUUUUCAUAUUAAAUUAUGUUUCAGAGCUAAAUAUUUGAUAUUAAAUGAAAGCCCUGUUUCCCCUGAAUAAAAUGAUAUAUAAUAAGGGUGGGUGCAUUUACUAUGAAAGAGGUGUAUUACGGUUGGACAGACAUGUAGCGCAAAUGCCAGGUUUUUUUUACAUUUUGUUUUGUUCACAACGUGUACAUUUGGCUCCGUCCUUAAGGGGUUAAUGGAUAGCCCUGUUAGUUGCCAUAGUAAGUGUGAGUUAUAUGCAGUUUUUUUGGUUCAAUACAAAUAGAUCUGUAAGAUUCUUUUAUAAUAUUUAGUUCUCCACUUUUGCAAGUUAUCUUUACCUUGCUGACAGUUAUUUAUAUAGCAAAUUGUUUUGAAUGUUUUAUUGCAUUAACAAAACAAAGUUGUACAGGAAACAUAGGUAGAUAUUGCUUCUCUCAGUUCCAAACUCAUAUAUUGUCACAGUGGAGUACACACAAUCCAUGGGGCCCCAGUAAAAAAACGAUCCGUGCCCCCCAACCGACACAUACAUACAGACACAGACAUACAUACAGACACACACACAUACACACAGACACAUACACACAUACAGAGACACAUAUACAUACAGACACACACAUACAGACAGACACACACACACACAUACAAAUACACCCCCGACAUACACAUACAUACACACAGACAGACACACACAUACAUACAGACAGACACACACAUCUCCCCCCGACAGACAUAAACACAGACACAUACAUACACACACACACACACACAUACAUACAGACACACACACACCCAUACAGACACAUACAUACAGAGACACACACACAUACAUACGGAGAUGCACACAUACAGACACAUACAUACAUACAGACACACACACAUACAGAAAACAUGUAUGUAUGUGUCUGUAUGUAUAUGUGUGUAUCUGUAUGUAUGUGUAUGUGUGUGUAUGUGUGCAUCUCUGUAUGUAUGUGUCUGUAUGUGUGUGUGUGUGUCUGUAUGUAUGUGUCUGUAUGUGUGUGCCUCUGUAUGUAUGUGUCUGUAUGAUACAGACACAUACAUACAGAGUCACACACACAUACAGACGCAUACAUACAGAGACACACACAGACACAUACAGACACACACACACAUACAGACACAUACAUACAGAGACACACACAUACACACAGACAGACACACAUACACAUACAUACACAUACAUACAGAGACACACACAUACAUACAGACAGACACACACAUCUCCCUCCGACAGACAUAAACACAGACACAUACAUACACACACACACAUACAUACAUACAUACACACACACACCCAUACAGACACAUACAUACAGAGACACACACACAUACAUACGGAGAUGCACACAUACAUACACAUACAUACAUACAGACACACACACAUACAGAAAACAUGUAUGUAUGUAUGUGUAUGUGUGUAUGUGUGUGUAUGUGUGCAUCUCUGUAUGUAUGUGUCUGUAUGUGUAUGUGUCUGUAUGUAUGUGUCUGUAUGUGUGUGCCUCUGUAUGUAUGUGUCUGUAUGAUACAGAGACACACACAUACACACAGACAGACACACAGACACAUACAUACAAACACACACAUAUACAAAAUGUUUAAGGACUGUUUCCUACCUUUUGCAGGAGGGCGACUUUCCCUGGGGUCCAGUGGGGGCUCAGCCUGAUGGGCUCAGCCUGAUGGGCUCAGCCUGAUUUUUCCUUCCUCCCGCGUGGCUCUCUGAUAGCUGGUAGGAGUGACCGGGGCAGUCACUUCCUCCCAGCUCUGUCUGACAUCAUCACAGGGGCCCCCUGGAAAUCCAUACCCAUCGGGUGACCCUAACAGCAUGGGCCACUUGAUGGGCCCCUUCAUGGCGGUGGGCGGGUACCUGGUCGCAGUGGCUCGCUGGGCGGCCAUGCUCCCUGGAGAUUUACUUGUGUAUAAGGGAGGGAGAGAUAGGUGGGAGCAGCAUUAUGUAGAGAUUUGAAAGCAAGAACCAGAAUUUUAAAUUGAGCUCUGUAUUUUAUAGGAAGCCAAUAUAGGGACUGACAGAAGGGUGAGGCAUGGGUGGUGCGGGCGGACAGGAAGAUGAGCCUCGCCGCCGCAUUCAUUAUGGACUGAAUGGAGCAAGUUGGGAGCAUGUAAGACCACUGAGAAGUGGAUUACAAUAGUCAAGGCGAGAAAGGACAGUGGAAUGGACCAACACCUUAGUCGCAUCUGGCGUUAAGUAGGGGCGGAUGCGCGCAAUGUUUUUGAGAUGGAAAUGACAGGACUUGGUGAUAGAUUGAACAUGAGGCUUGAAGGAGAGGUCGGAUUCAAAGAGAACACCUAGAUCAGUCAAAAUGCUUUUCACUCUCCUCUGAGCUAAUUUGGUCAGCUUUAAGUCAGUCUCAGGAAUCUGUCAUUUUUAAAUAGCAUAUAGACCAAUGGUCUGGUUAUAUAAUCGUCUUCCAUUAGUCUGCAGUUUGUAGACAUUACACUUUUUCUAGAUUAGAUUUAUGGUCUGUUUGUUAAAGAAGCAAUGUCAGUCAUCAUAUAUAAUGAGUUUGCCAGAUUGCACAAGAGAUGGAGCUGUAUCAGGUCUACACACAUGUAGAAUAAAGUACAGUUUGUCCCUGUUUAUGCAGGGCUGCAUAAUUAACCAAGUCUUGUUCUAAAAUAAAAUUUUCUGUACUUUUAUUCUGAUCUAAUUCCUUAAUUUGUUACAGAUAAAGUUUAUUGGCUGGCAUUAACUGGAAUCCUGCUUAAGUUCUUUCAGCAAACAACCAGCAUGGCUAACAUAAAAGUAAACAAAUUCUUCAAGCGAUAAUGUUGAGCAUUAUUUUAGUGGCAUUAAUGAGAGAACAUUUGUCCCAUGAUGUAUAAACACUGCUUGUAUUAGCGGGUGAUUAGGUUUAGGAUAAAGGUGUAAACAAGGUUAGGGCUAAAGAGUAAUUAGUGUUAAGGUACCCAAAAAAUCUUAACUCCAUGUUGGUGAGGGGUACACUUGAAAUAUCAGUCUGUGAAAGCCUUGGACUUACUGCAGGCCGGCAAUCUUGGUCUUAGGCAUUCCCCAAGUCUACCCUGAUGACUGAGCUGGGAACCACUGAUUUAAAAGACUAUCUAUAUGGUAUUAGGAGUAUACAUUGUUGAAACAUGUCGUUUUGCUUAGUCAACAUUUUUGCACACCAGCUGCAGCCCAAGCCAGGGAACACAAUUGAACUUUUAGUAAAAAGUAUAAGCAAAUAUAAUAUAUUAGCAUAGUACACAUUUCCUGACACUGUAAUAAAAUAAAAAAACAACCAAGCACAUCUACCUACAUGGAGGUUGGAUUUUAUAACCUUGUUCCCAGAUGAUCAACCUUGAUCGUUAUAUAUUUUGAAUUCUUGAUGGGCAAAUCAAUAAGAAAUAUGUUGUUCUAAUUUCUUAUAGUUAACCUUUAUUUCCAGUGAUGUCAAAUAUUUCUGUAGGGUAAUUAGGAAAAACAAAACAUAAAUAGAACAUGUUUAAAAAAAAAAAAAGAUAAAUUAUAUAAUUUACCCAUUGUUAAAAGUAAAACAAAAUAAUCAAAUAUUGGCAUUUGCAAGUAAAUAUUUUGUUUAGUGGUAAUGGGGUGAAUAGCAGAUAUAGAACAGAGGAACAUUCAAAUGUAUUUAUAGCAAUAUGUAUUUCUUUCUUUUUUGAACCUUUAACCCCUUAAGGACUGAGCCAAAUGUACACGUUGUGAACAAAACAAAAUGUAAACAAAACCUGGCAUUUGCGCUAUAUGUCUGUCCAACAUUAAUUCACCUCUUUCAUAUUAAAUGCACCCACACUUAUUAUAUAUCAUUUUAAUCAGGGGAAACAGGGCUUUCAUUUAAUAUUUAGCUAUGAAACAUAAUUUAAUAUGAAAACAAUGGGAGAAAAUAAGAAAUUUAAUUUUUUUAGUUCUACAUGACAUUUUAACUGUCAAUGUCAUAAUACUGUUUGCUUUUACUGCAAUAAAAUACACAUAUUUGUAUUCAGCAAAGUCUCACGUGUAAAACAGUACCACCUAUGUACAGGUAUUAUGGUGUUUUGGGAAGUUACAGGGUCAAAUAUAGCACAUUACAUUUGAAAUUGAAAUUUGCCAGAUUGGUUACAUUGCCUUUGGAACUGUAUAGUAGCCCAGGAAUUAAAUUUACACCCAUAAUGGCAUACCAUUUGCAAUAGUAGACAACCCAAGGUAUUGCAAAUGGGGUAUGUCCAGUCUUUUUUAGUAGCCAUUUGGUCACAAACACUGGCCAAAGUUAGAGUUAGUAUUUUUUUGUGUGUGAAAAUGCAAAAAAUGCCAAUUUUGGAUCGCCGGCAACCGAGUAAGUAAAAAAAACACGGAGGGCAUACUAUUACGCCCGGCGGCAUUUAGAGCCGCCUAAAAUAGGGUGUAAUAGUACACCCUCCGGUCUUAAGGGGAUAAUUAAGUCACAAUCACAUGGCCGGGUUAGCUGGCUGCUGCAUUGCCAGCAGGGGGACUGCCGGUAAUGACAGUUAGUCCCCCUGCUGGCUGGAAAUCAAAUAAAAUAAAGUCGAAAUCAGUGUAAAAAAAAUUAUAUACUUAGAUCAUAUAUAUAUAUAUAUAUAUAUACACACAUAUACAUAAAUGCACAUACACUGUGUAGGUGUAUUUUACUAUUAAUAUAUAUAUAAUUAUAUAUAUAUUAAUAUCAAAUUACACGUAGACUGAUUAAAUAUAUAUAUAUAUAUAUAUAUAUAAUUAUUUAUAUAUAUAUUUAUAUAUAAUAUAAAAAAAUGUAAAUACAUUAAAUAUAAAUAAAAAUGAAUAAUAAAUAAAUAAUUAAAAUAUAUAUAGAUGUGUGUUAUUUAAUUCUAACUGUAUUGUGAUAUUAAUAUAUAUAUAUGUAUAUCAAAAUACACGUAGAACAAAAUAAUAUAUAUAUCUAUAUACAUAAAUAUAUACGUAUAUAUCACUAUAUAUAUAUACCUAUAUAUAAAUAAAAACAUUUUUUUUAAAUUAUAUAUAUAUUAUAAUUAUAAAAGUAUAUACAUAUAUUAAUUCUACAUAUAUAUUUAUGUAAUAUUUUUACAUAAUUAGGUAUUUUAAUUCAUUACAAUUAGCGGGACCUGCCUGACAACCCAUGCCGAAAGUAUAGGGAAUUUAAUUUGCUAGCACUAUAUUUAACCCUAUAACUUUCCAAGACACCAUAAAACCUGUGCAUAGGGGGUACUGUUUUACACGUGAGACUUUGCUGAAUACAAAUAUGUGUAUUUUAUUGCAGUAAAAGCAAACAGUAUUAUGACAUUGACAGUUAAAAUGUAAUGUAGAACUAAAAAAAUUAACAAAAUAUUAUUUUCUCCCAUUUGUUUCAUAUUAAAUUAUGUUUCACAGCUAAAUAUUUGAUAUUAAAUGAAAGCCCUGUUUCCCCUGAAUAAAAUGAUAUAAUAAGGGUGGGUGCAUUUACUAUGAAAGAGGUGAAUUACGUUGGACAGGCAUGUAGCGCAAAUGCCAGGUUUUGUUUACAUUUUGUUUUGUUCACAACGUGUACAUUUGGCUCAGUCCUUAAGGGGUUAUACCUUCAUUCUUUUGUAUAAAUAAUAAUAUAUAUUUUAUCUUAAAAGGAGUUGUUAAAGGAAAUACACUGAUAGAUAUCGGUGCUGGAUCAGCAAUCUUUGAACUCCUCUCAGCUUGUGAAGUCUUUACCAAUAUUAUAAUUUCUGACUUCCUGGAGCAAAAUCUCACCGAAUUAAAAAA